rnacentral:rRNA from 1 species
UACGUAGGGUGCAAGCGUUGUCCGGAAUUAUUGGGCGUAAAGAGCUCGUAGGCGGUCUGUCGCGUCUGGUGUGAAAAUCCAAGGCUUAACCUUGGACCUGCAUCGGGUACGGGCAGACUAGAGUGCGGUAGGGGAGACUGGAAUUCCUGGUGUAGCGGUGAAAUGCGCAGAUAUCAGGAGGAACACCGGUGGCGAAGGCGGGUCUCUGGGCCGUAACUGACGCUGAGGAGCGAAAGCAUGGGGAGCGAACAGG